UGACUCUGGUGUCCCUGCUGCUCCAGU
rnacentral:piRNA from 1 species